rnacentral:lncRNA from 1 species
CCCAAAAUCCCCCAAACUAAUCUCUCUCCUUUUAUUUCUUCUUCUUCUCAUGGGAACUUGGCCUCUGAGGAGAGAUGUGGAACCAAACCCAAGAAGUUGCCUCCCCCGUUUCAUGCCUGGGCCUUUUAUAGGCUGCCAUCUCCCCCUCUCUCCUCUGUUCCGAAUGGGAAGAUAGAGACGUGAGUGAUCCGGCUAAGAUGCGGCUGGGAGGAUAUCUUGCGGAAGAUGGAUGGAGUUCAUCCGAAAUGACGCGG